CCAGUUGGUUCUGAAGUAUAUGUAUCCGACUUUCUACUUUUGAUUUCUGGUACCUCUUCUAGUGUGGUAUAAAUAGGAUCCUUUUUGUUGACGUACCAGUGAACUGAAAUGUCUGUUGUGCGACGUGAUAAUUAAAACCAAAUUAACUAGCUGUUACGCAGAAACAAUAAUCAAUAUAUGAUUCCUUGUACGGAUACUCAUAUAUGAAUCCGAUACACACUCUGGUCUAACAAUUGUAUUAUGAGAAUCACUUGGGGAUUAAAUACAACAGGGAUACGAAACCCUCCAACGUCGACUGUAGGAGCUGUUUUUAUGGAGGAAUUGUUAGCAAGGGCGAAAAGAAAUGAACUUUAACAAAGAGACGAGAUCCACGUUCCUAGACCCUAUCCACAUAAAUCAAGACGUUACCGCUACUGUGUACAUUUAAUUUGGUAAACAACAAACAUACAACCUAGAAGGAUUUUUGGUCUACUACAUAAAAAGUGUCCUUUAUUUGAAACAUAACAGUUUGAAUCAACUUAUUGAGGGUCUAAAAUAGAUGAAGUGACAAAAACACUGUGAGUAUCCGACAAACUAUUAUCCGGAUUUUUGGAUCUACAGACUAUUAUCCGGAUUUUUGGUUCUACAAACUAUUAUCCGGAUUUUUGGUUCUAUUUGACUACAAAAGUGUGGAAACGAAACGUAGACAAAACUGGUCUUCUUUAACGAAUGUCUCAUGGAAAGAAUGUUUUGGAAAGGAGACGUUAACAUAAUUCAAUGAAAACUAUGGUUUGAAAACAAGAUUGGAGUAAUCGUUUGGACUACUGGACUAGGUUAAUGAAUGGACACAUUUCACGUUUGAACACACGAGUGAUGGAUAAGAAGAGAAUGACCUCUACGUAAGUGGACGCAAGGUAAGUUCUUUGUCUAUCUACAAUGAUUAAGAUAGGUACCACUAACGUCCGUAUCAAUUGAAUAGGAAACACAUCAUACUAAUAAUAUGUGUGAGAAAAGUAAAGACAAAAGGGGAGGAUUCGGUAAAUAAGACAGAUGGCGUCCAACGAACCACAGGAGAGUAGCACAGAUAACCACGUCAUAGUGUAUAGGAGAGAGCUUCUCUACUCUAUUCCUAAUGUCCCGAUGGUUGUUGGGUGGAGUGGAUAUUACCUUCUGUAGGACUAAGUAACAACGUUCGAUCUCUUGUUAUUGAUAGUACAACCACUAAAGGAACUAUAUACCAAGAUGUGCACACAGUAUACCUGGUUACUUUCGUUUCUAUAACGCCUCUAUUAUUGAUAUACCCGAUGAGGUUUACCUCACCGUCACCUUGGUUGUGGAAAAUAUCCGGAAGUUCAUGGACACACCUUCAGAUGGUACGUUCGUAAUAGGCUGCUGAUUGUGAAACGAAUACACAUGUAUAGGAGACUUCUGGUGUUGGCCUGAUUCUUCUACAGAUUUAUUCGACACUCCGACGGAUAUAUAUUCAGAUAAAGACAUUUAACUAUAGUCAAUAAGAUGAUAGACAUUUGGUUAAAUUCAGUAAGAUAACAGA
rnacentral:rRNA from 1 species